UCAAGUGACUAAGUGCAUGUGGCGGAUGCCUUGGCGAUCACAGGCGAAGAAAGACGCGGCAGCCUGCGAAAAGCUGCGGGGAGCUGGCAAACGAGCUUUGAUCCGCAGAUAUCUGAAUGGGGGAACCCACACCGCAAGGUGUAUCCGUGACUGAAUACAUAGGUUACGGAGGCGAACGAGGAGAACUGAAACAUCUAAGUAUCCUCAGGAAAAGAAAUCAACCGAGAUUCCGGCAGUAGCGGCGAGCGAACCCGGAGGAGCCUAGCUUUUGAUAGUACGAACUUUAGCCGAAAGGUCCUGGAAAGGCCUGCUAUAGUGGGUGAUAGCCCCGUAGGCGAAAGAGUUCGUAUGGUACUAAGGAAGCGAGAAGUAGAGCGGGACACGUGGAAUCCUGUUCGAAGAUGGGGGGACCAUCCUCCAAGGCUAAAUACUCGUGAUCGACCGAUAGUGAACCAGUACCGUGAGGGAAAGGCGAAAAGAACCCCGGGAGGGGAGUGAAAUAGAACCUGAAACCGCAUGCAUACAAACAGUAGGAGCCUCAACAGAGGUGACUGCGUACCUUUUGCAUAAUGGGUCAGCGACUUACAUUCUGUGGCGAGCUUAACCGAAUAGGGGAGGCGCAGCGAAAGCGAGUUCGAAAUGAGCGUCCAGUCGCAGGGUGUAGACCCGAAACCAGAUGAGCUAUCCAUGGCCAGGUUGAAGGUGUGGUAACACACACUGGAGGACCGAACCGACUAGUGUUGCAAAAUUAGCGGAUGAGCUGUGGAUAGGGGUGAAAGGCCAAACAAAUCUGGAGAUAGCUGGUUCUCCCCGAAAACUAUUGAGGUAGUGCCUCGUGUGUCGCUCCAGGGGGUAGAGCACUGUUUUGGCUAGGGGGACAUGGAGUCUUACCAAACCAAGGCAAACUCCGAAUACCUGGAAGCGUAAGCACGGGAGACAGAGCACCGGGUGCUAACGUCCGGACUCAAAAGGGAAACAACCCAGACCGCCGGCUAAGGUCCCCAAUAACAGCUAAGUGGAAAACGAAGUGGAAAGGCCGUGACAACCAGGAAGUUGGCUUAGAAGCAGCCAUCCUUCAAAGAAAGCGUAAUAGCUCACUGGUCGAGUCCUUCUGCGCGGAAGAUGUAACGGGGCUAAGCUGUUAACCGAAGCCGCGGAUGCACUGAUUAUUCAGUGCGUGGUAGGGGAGCGUUCUGUAAGUCUGCGAAGGCGGUUCGAGAGGACUGCUGGAGAUAUCAGAAGUGCGAAUGCUGACAUGAGUAACGUUAAAGCAGGUGAAAAGCCUGCUCGCCGUAAGCCCAAGGAUUCCUGCUCUACGUUCAUCGGAGCAGGGUGAGUCGGCUCCUAAGGUCAGGCCGAAAGGCGUAGCCGAUGGGAAUCAGGUUAAUAUUCCUGAACCUGCGUCAGAUGCGAUGGGGGGACGGAGCAUGAAAGAUCAUCCGGGUGUUGGAUGUCCCGGUUGACGAGCGUAGGAGGUCUGCAGGCAAAUCCGCAGACGCAUCUCCAAGGCGAAGUCACGUGCCGCCACGGCGGCGAAGUGAUCGGAAGUGCUUCCAAGAAAAGCCUCUAAGCACCAGUCUGACGCGGACCGUACCGCAAACCGACACUGGUGGGCGAGCUGAAUAUGCUCAGGCGCUUGAGAGAACUCGGGAGAAGGAACUCGGCAAAUUGACACCGUAACUUCGGAAGAAGGUGUGCCGUAGUAGCGUGAGAGGAGAGACACCUUGAGCGUGAAUCGGUCUCAGAGAAUAGGUGGCUGCGACUGUUUAUUAAAAACACAGCACUCUGCAAAGUCGAAAGACGACGUAUAGGGUGUGAUGCCUGCCCGGUGCUGGAAGAUUAAUUGAUGGGGUGAGAGCCCUUGAUCGAAGUCCCAGUAAACGGCGGCCGUAACUAUAACGGUCCUAAGGUAGCGAAAUUCCUUGUCGGGUAAGUUCCGACCUGCACGA
rnacentral:rRNA from 1 species